UACGGGGGGGGGCAAGCGUUGUUCGGAAUUACUGGGCGUAAAGGGCUCGUAGGCGGCCAACUAAGUCAGACGUGAAAUCCCUCGGCUUAACCGGGGAACUGCGUCUGAUACUGGAUGGCUUGAGUUCGGGAGAGGGAUGCGGAAUUCCAGGUGUAGCGGGUGAAAUGCGUAGAGAUGUGGAGGAAUACCGAUGGCGAAGGCCAGCCCCCUGGGACAUGGACUGACGCUCAUGCACGAAGCGUGGGGAGCAAACAGG
rnacentral:rRNA from 1 species